GCUCUGACUAGGUUGCACUACUGUGCUGUGAGAAGCAGUGCAAUGGUAUUGUCAAAGCAU
rnacentral:pre_miRNA from 1 species